GAGGAGGUAGCCAACACUGUUUUUAUAUAUUAUAAUUGGGGUAGCCCCCCAAAUAUUGGGACGUAUAAAAAAAGACAACUCUGUUCCGCAGAGUAGCUGUUGACAUAAUACUUUUCAUGCGGAUGUCAUCCAUAUCAACUUUCGAUGCCAGUUUCUGCGCCUACCAUGGUGACCAUGGGUAAUGGGGAAUCAGUGUUCCAUUCCGUACAGGGACCCUGAGAAACGGCUACCACAUGCAAGGUAUGCAGCAGGCGCACAAAUGACCCACUCCUGACGCGGGAAGGUAGUGAC